AGGGUGUAAACGCUGCAGACUUGGUGUUGGGGGCCCUUUGGGGGCAUUCAGUGCCGGAGAGAAGUUGUUAAGUCUGCUACUUGGGGAGUACGUCCGCAAGGAUGAAACUUAAAGGAAUUGGCGGGGGAGGCACCGCAACCGGGAGGAGCGUGCGGUUUAAUUGGAUUCAACACCGUAAAACUCACCAGGGAAGACUGUUACAUGAAGGCCGAGAUGAAGACUCUGCUAGAUUUUCAGAGAGGAGGUGCAUGGCGUCAGUGACU
rnacentral:rRNA from 1 species